GGAUUGUGGCUCAGCGGUAGAGCACUUGUCUAGCAUGUGCAAGGCCCUGGGUUUGAUCCUCAGCACCA
rnacentral:tRNA from 1 species